rnacentral:lncRNA from 1 species
AAAAAAAAAAAAGGAGUUCCCGUCAUGGCUCAGUGGUUAACGAAUCUGACUAGGAACCAUGAGGUUGCAGGUUCGAUUGCUGAGCUCCCUCAAUAGGCUAUGGAUCUCGUGUUGCCUGUGAGUUGUGGUGUAGGUCGCAGAUGCGUCUUGGAUCCUGUGUUGCUGUGGCUGUGGCGUAGGCUAGGAGCUACAGCUCCGAUUUGACCCCUAGCCUGGGAACCUCCAUAUGCCACAGAUGCGGCCCUGGAAAAGACAAAAAGACCGAGGGAAAAAAAAAAAAAACGAAAGAAAGAAAUUGGAAGUUUAAAGAUGAGAUAGGGAUAGCAGACUUGUGGGUUCCAGGGAGAAAGGGGAGAGGAAGUGGGAUGGACAGGGACUUUGGGGUUGGUAGAUGCAAACUAUUACAUUUAGAAUGGAUAAACAAUGACGUCCUACCAUACAGCACAGGGAACUAUAUUCAGUCUCUUUGGGUAGAACAUGAUGGAAAAUACUAUGAGAAGAAGAAUGUAUAUAUGUAUGUAUGACUGGGUCACCAUGCUGUAUAGUAGAGAUUGACACAACACUGUAAGCCAACUACAUUCCAAUGAAAAAUAAUUUUAAAAAAAGAAAAAAGAGGAUUUGAGAGGAAGAUGUCUUUGAUGUGAAGUGUGCUUUGAAUCCCACACCCCCAGGGAAGGGAUAGGGUGAGGGCACAUCCCUGUUCCUUCAAGACAACUGGGAGGGCCUCCAUGGGGCCCCUUGGAGAGGCUGGUAAAGGUCCUCUGACGUGAGGGUGACUUGGAGGGCUGAUUGCCUCCUGCCUGGGAGAGUUGGCAGCAGAGGCAGCCUGGCAAGCUACCCAUGGCUGAAAGGAAGGGGCGGUGGAGGCGCUGGAGAAGCCUGCCUCCCAGAAUCUGUCAGGUCAAAGAUUUGUGUACUUCCUGAAGAACAGACAUGCACCAUGUGGAAGAGAGGGCAGGCCUAGAGCCCCUGAAAUUGUACUCAAGCAACCUCCAGGGAAAGGAUAACUAAAUAGCGAGGCUAUGUGAACCAGACUGCCAGGAAAGGGGGUCUGGGCAUCGGGAGGAGAAGCCAGCUUACAGGAGACUCAUCACUCACUCCCUGGAAGUGUCAUUAAAUGCUUUCAGUGAACACCUUUGUGGAGGCCACAAAUCCUGUACCCUUUUCCAACUUUAAUCAUCUUAAAAAAUUAAAUUAUAGUUGAUGUACAAUGCUAUACAAGUUAUAGGUGUACAGGAUAGUGAUUCACAAUUUUUAAAGUAUAAUACCUAUACUCCAAUUAUAGAUAUUAUAAAACAUUGGCUAUACUCCCUGUGUUGUACAAUCCAUCCUGGUAGCUUAUUUUGUACCUCUUAAUCCUCCACCCUUAUGUUGCCUCUCCACCCUUCCCACUCUCCACUAGUAACUAAUAGUUUGUUCUCUAUAUCCGUGGGUCUGUCUCUUUUUUGUUAUUAGUUUGUUGUAUUUUUUAGAUUCCAUAUAUAAGUGAUAUUGUACUGUAUUUGUUUUUCUCUGCCUGACGACUUUCAGUUAAGUAUAACACCCUCCAAGUUCAUCCAUGUUGUUGUAGAAGCCAUUAUUUCAUUCUUUUUUUAUGGUUGAGUAGUGUUCCAUUGUAUAUAUGUACCACACCUUCUUUAUCCAUCAUCUGUUGGUAGACAAUUAUGUUGUUUCCAUGUCUUAGCUAUUGUAAAUAAUGCUGCUGUGAAUGUUGGGAUGCAUGUAUCUUUUCUUUUUUUUUUUGGAUGAUUCUCAUGAAGGAAACCCUCCUGUCUUGCCCAUUACCCUUUUCUCUUCUCACUUUGUCCCUCUACCAGUCCAGCUCCAGAAUGCACUCACAGACCAGAGUUAGCAAGUUGUGGGAGGAAGAGCUGGGCUGUGAGAUGAGGAAGACACAGUCUAUAAACCUCCCCUGGACCGCAGUAGGCCAGAGCUGGAAGAGGAAGAAGUACUCAUCUUAAAUGAACUUGGAGGCUUUGGUUUUUACAUGGCCUCUUGUGAAUCGAGACUGACUACACCAAACUUUUGAUUAUCUAAAGGUGAACAAGGAAUCAGGGGGCCUACCUCCACUUUUAUAUAGGAAUGUAGCAAGGACUACCCCUGUCAAGAGGUUGGAAGGACAAUGAGAGACAUCUAUAAAGUUGCUUUUUGAGGUGUAGCCCCGUGUCCUACAUGAGCACGAGUCCAGUUUGCCUCUUUGACUCAUUGGUUUGUACUCUUCAUGUUGGCUUGUUUGGAUUCUUACUUUGUGCUGUGUUUUUCCAUCCCAUGAGAUUUAUAGUUGUAAAUCUUGUACCAAACUUAUAAUUGGUCCUCAGUACACAUUGGAGACUAAGACGCAUGGGGGAAGCAUUGUAAGUGUGGUUAGUAGAGUAGAGACCACCUUCCAGGUGCUGGCCUUUCCAUUUGGUCAUCUGGAUUUCACCCCAGCCCUUUUGUACACUCAGUGAGCACUGAGCAUUCAGUGCCUAGUCCCCAAAUAACCUUUCUUCUUGUGUCACAAGUAUGACACCAUUCUAACCAACGCAGCUUUGAGACUCAUUUUGAAUGCACCUUCAUUUUCCCAUCUUCUAGCACUAUUUGUCUUUGUAUGGCUCUCUCUGAGGGCCAAGACAGUAUCGUACAUAUCUCUGAAUCCCCAGCACAGUGUCUGGCACAUAGAAACUGCUCAGGAAGUACAAGAAAAAGGGUUGAACACAGCAAAUCUGAAAUCCCCAUGAAACUCCAGCCAUCAGGCCUAUUGGGCCAGGAAGAAAGAUAACUCCAGUACUGCCCUGACAUUGUUUGAAUGUAGUUUAUACAAAGAUUAAGAUUAGGAGCUGCAGGAGUUCCUGCCCUGGCUCAGUGGUAACGAACCCGACUAGGAUUCAAGAGGACCUGGGGUUGAUCCCUGGCCUUGCUCAGUGGGUUAAGGAUCUGGCAUUGCUAUGACCUGCGGUGUAGGUGGCAGACACGGCUUAGAUCCUACAUUGCUGUGGCUGUGGUGUAGGCCAGCAGCUGCAGCUUGGAUUCGACCCCUAGCCUGAGAACUUCCAUAUGCCGCAAGUGCAAAAAAACAAAAAAAUUAGGAGCUGUGACUGAGAGGGCCUGAAUCCUAGGUCUACCAGUUGCUUGGGAAGGGUGUAUUUUCUUGUUAGACUUAGUCUGUGGCACAAUAAUGAGGGCAGUAAUAUUCAAAGCAAAUGAGAUGUGAAAAUUAUCAGGUAAAAGCAUCUCUAGUUUGGUGCCUGGUAAAGGACAGGUUUUCUGUCUCUCUGUCUUUUCUCCCUCUCCCUCCUUCUCUCUCUCUCUCUAUAUAUAUAUAUAUAAAUUUUAACACCCUCCUCCUCCUUAUCCCCCAUACUUGAAACCCAAGGAGCAUCUUUGAGUAGAAGUCAUAGAAAGAGCUUAGCAAUAACAGUCAAAGUCGAGGAUACGGUCACUUUGGAAGAGAGUGGAGUAAAAUAGCAUUAUCUGAUAACACAGUGUAAGGAAUAUGGGAAUUGGAGGGACAAGAUUUGAGUUGAGUUUGAGCCCUGUCCUGUCACAUAUCAACUGACAACAUUGGCAAGUCAAUGAAUUUUCUGAGCCUCUUUCAUUCACUGUUAAAUCUGGUCAAUAAGAUGGUUCUGUGCUUCCUGGGGACAGAAUCUUGUCUUAUGUACCUCCUUGUCCUUAGCACAUAUCAAAGUGCCUGGUGUUUGAUGAUAAUAACAAUAUAGGUCAUAAUAAAUGACUCUUUUCUAAAAAUUUGAAGGUACCAGUUCUUAUUGCACCGCGAAGAAGUUAAUGCUCUUAAAUUUUAAUGAAUACUUGAGGAAUGAAAUUUCACUAAUAUAUCCAUAUAUUAAAUCAAAAGCAACAAUGUUAGGCACAAGUGGUGUGUCAACUUCAAGUGCCAUAAAAAUAUAAGAUAGCUUUAAAAAAAAUUUAUGGGAGCUCCCAUCAUGGCUCAGUGGUAAUGAACCCGACUAGUAUCCAUGAAGAUGUGGGUUCGAUCCCUGGCCUCACUCAGCGGGUUGAGGAUCCAGCAUUGCUGUGACUUGUGGCAUAGGUUGCAGACUUGGCUCAGAUCCCACGUUGCCGUGGCUGUGGUGUAUGUUGGCAGCUGUAGCUCUGAUUUGACCCCUUGCCUGGAAACUUCCAUAUGUUGCGGGUGCAGCCCUAAAAAACAACAACAAAAAAGAGUUUAUGGCCACAUCUGCAGCAUAUGGAAGACCAGGGAUUGAAUCUAAGCCACAGUUGUGGCAGUGCUGGAUCCUGUAACCUACUGCAUUGGACUGGGGAAUGGAACCCACAAGCUCUACAGUGAACUAAGAUGCUGCAGUUGAAUUCUUAACCCACUGUGCCACACCAGAACCUCCUAAAAUAGCAUUUUAUUUCUCUAUUUCUCUGCUUUGAUCUAGAAGACAGACUGCUAGCAAUUGUCAUACAAAAAGGGAGGGGAAUCCUUUACAGAGAUUUUACCCAUAGUGCCCUUUGUUUCUGCUCUCCAUUUAAUAUUUGCUACAGCUCUUUGAGGAAGAUAGAACUACCCCAUUUUAAAGAGUUGGAAAUGGAAGCUCAGGUAAAUUAAGUAACUUAGUGACUUGCUCAACAAUGGCUUGCCAAAUCUUCGGUGGCAGAGUUAUGAUCUGAAUUGAAAUUGGUGCUUUGCAAAGCCCAGACACUUGUAGCGAUGGCUGGGGAGGGAAAGAGGAGGGAGAAUGAGGCUGCAAAUGAGUAUGCAGUGGGUGAGAGCAGGGGUCAAAAACAUCCGAAGAAGAACAGAAGCCUUGCGACCCCCCUGCCUCCAGCCCCAUUUCAAAUGUUUUUCUUAUGCUGACAGUCAGAAGAAGGGGUCCGUGUGCACCUCUGUUCCCGGGAAAGGCCAACAGUCACUCUGCUUGGAACAGAAAAGGCUAAGGGGAGUCUGUUAUUUCCAGAGAAAUCUGAGAGGGCAGAAGGAGGUCAGACCGUGGGCAUGUGUGUCUGUGGGCUCUUUGACAUCAUGUGAACAUGGUGGUUGUUCUGGUUGGAUUAUACUUUUAACUCUUUUCCCAAGUGCUGAGGAGGCCACACAGCAGGAGGCCUGAGGGCGAAGAAAGUUGGACUGAACUUUGGUGAGAGCCCGGGAUGGGACCUCGUGCCGCCUUGCUCAGGGUCCUCCCCCCGCACCUCAUUUCCCCACCUGGGUAAGGGUGGGCUGGGGCAGCUGGCAGGAAAGGCUCUUCCUGUUCUACACUCUGUGGUCUGACAUUGCAAUUUUUUAUUCUAAUUUCCCACACCCUAAGGAGGGUGAUUCAGGCCUGCCUCUGGGAGAGCAGAGGUAUUACAAACUAAAUUUUUUUUUUUUUUUUUUUUUGUCUUUUUGUCUUUUUGCCUUUUCUAGGGCUGCUCCCGCGGCAUACGGAAGUUCCCAGGCUAGGGGACUAUCGGAGCUGUAGCCGCUGGCCUACACCACAGCCACAGCAACGCAGGAUCCGAGCCAUGUCUGCAACCUACAUCACAGCUCACGGCCACGCCAGAUCCUUAACCCACUGAGCAAGGCCAGGGAUCGAACCCGCAACCUCAUGGUUCCUAGUCAGAUUCGUUAACCACUGUGCCACGACGGGAACUCCAAGCAUUGUUUUAAAAAACGUCAGAUGCUUAUGUUAAAUAACACGAGGUAGAGUGUGUGUGUGUGCGUGUGUGUGUGUGUGUGGUGGAGGUGGAGGGCAGAAAGGGGGUUAUCUAAAAUGUAGAGUCUCUGUUUUUAAUCUCAAGUCUACCCAGUAUUAACUAUGAAAUCUUGAACAAGUCAUCAACCCCUCUAGGCUUCUGUUUCAUUCUCUACAAAGAGAGUCAUGGUAGCACCUACCUGGUUGUUCGAGGGGGGAGCCCAUUUCUGCGAAGCACUUAGAAGCCUGCCUGACUCAGAGAGAGCACUCGUGACAUCAGCUACUUCUAUGAAUUCUCACCAGCUCUAAUUGUCAUUUUGCACAUGAGAAAAUGGACCUUCAGAAAGUUGAAAUGAUUUGCUUGAGGUCAAAGAUGUGCUAGGAAGAAGAGUGAGAGGGUUAGGAUGUUAUAACUGUGUUUCAACCUGACACCCAGAAAUGCCUGGGGUGUGCCCAGCUGCUCACUGCCCCUUCCUAACCGUGGUCAGUGUCUGCACUGAGGCAGGUGGGCAAGGGAGGAAGCAGACCACAGUGUGCCGGCCCCAAAGGCACAGCUCCCAGUAGGGGAGCAGCACACUCUGUGACUAACUCGGACUUGACCUCAGGCUAUUGCUUAUUUCCAGGAGUCAGGAAACUGGGAAUGGUGGGGAGAGGGUGGGCAGGCAGAGUGGUGAAAGCAUGGGAAAGGGGGGUCUUUCCUCAAUAGCAGUUAUAAUUUAACUGCAUCUCGAUCAUGUUCAAGGCCAUUCAUAAACUGUCCCCAUUCCCACCUUUCAAGCUUAUCUCCAUGCUGUUUGUGUUUCAGCCCCAUCUGGAUCCUCCAAAUCCUGGGUCCUCUGAACACCAGCCCACCAGCCUGCUCUAGGAAACAGGGUGACCCGACAUUCCCCACCCCCAUCUUAAUCCUUCCUGUUGAGAUAAAGAAAAACCUUAUUAAAAAUUUCCAUCUUAUUGUUAAUUUGGAUUAAGCCUGACCAAGGGAUCACCAUGUGUUGGUAUCCUCUGAAACUGCAAAAUCUUUCCCCGGGGAGGGGGUGGGACACACUGAACUUAGAUGAAACAAUUGCCACAACAUAAAAUUGGCAAUAGCUCAAACUGCAUAUGCCAAUCUCUGUUAUUGA